GACGAACCGUGCGAACGUUUUUCGGAUUCACUGGGCUUAAAGGGCGCGUAGGCGGACGGUCAAGUCAGGGGUGAAAUCUUUCAGCUCAACUGGAAAAGUGCCUCUGAUACUGAUCGUCUCGAGGGAGGUAGGGGCAUGUGGAACUUCCGGUGGAGCGGUGAAAUGCGUAGAUAUCGGAAGGAACGCCGGUGGCGAAAGCGACGUGCUGGACCUCUUCUGACGCUGAGGCGCGAAAGCCAGGGGAGCGAACGGG
rnacentral:rRNA from 1 species